UGGGCGAAGCCUGAUGCAGCGACGCCGCGUGAGGGAUGACGGCCUUCGGGUUGUAAACCUCUUUCAGUAGGGAAGAAGCGAAAGUGACGGUACCUGCAGAAGAAGCACCGGCUAACUACGUGCCAGCAGCCGCGGUAAUACGUAGGGUGCGAGCGUUAUCCGGAAUUAUUGGGCGUAAAGAGCUCGUAGGCGGUUUGUCGCGUCUGUCGUGAAAGUCCGGGGCUUAACCCCGGAUCUGCGGUGGGUACGGGCAGACUAGAGUGCAGUAGGGGAGACUGGAAUUCCUGGUGUAGCGGUGGAAUGCGCAGAUAUCAGGAGGAACACCGAUGGCGAAGGCAGGUCUCUGGGCUGUAACUGACGCUGAGGAGCGAAAGCAUGGGGAGCGAACAGGAUUAGAUACCCUGGUAGUCCAUGCCGUAAACGUUGGGCACUAGGUGUGGGGACCAUUCCACGGUUUCCGCGCCGCAGCUAACGCAUUAAGUGCCCCGCCUGGGGAGUACGGCCGCAAGGCUAAAACUCAAAGGAAUUGACGGGGGCCCGCACAAGCGGCGGAGCAUGCGGAUUAAUUCGAUGCAACGCGAAGAACCUUACCAAGGCUUGACAUGUUCCCGAUCGCCGUAGAGAUACGGUUUCCCCUUUGGGGCGGGUUCACAGGUGGUGCAUGGUUGUCGUCAGCUCGUGUCGUGAGAUGUUGGGUUAAGUCCCGCAACGAGCGCAACCCUCGUUCCAUGUUGCCAGCACGUAAUGGUGGGGACUCAUGGGAGACUGCCGGGGUCAACUCGGAGGAAGGUGAGGACGACGUCAAAUCAUCAUGCCCCUUA
rnacentral:rRNA from 1 species